UACGUAGGUGGCAAACGUUGUCCGGAUUCACUGGGCGUAAAGCGCGCGCAGGCGGAUUGGUCAGUCUGGGGUGAAAUCUCUCGGCUCAACUGAGAGAGGUCCCUGGAUACUGCCAGUCUUGAGGGGCUCAGAGGAGAGUGGAAUUCCGCGUGUAGUGGUGGAAUGCGUAGAUACGCGGAGGAACACCAGUGGCGAAAGCGGCUCUCUGGGGGCCACCUGACGCUGAGGCGCGAAAGCGUGGGGAGCAAACAGG
rnacentral:rRNA from 1 species